UACGUAGGGGGCAAGCGUUGUCCGGAAUCAUUGGGCGUAAAGCGCGUGUAGGCGGUCCGGUAAGUCCGCUGUGAAAGUCGGGGGCUCAACCCUCGGAUGCCGGUGGAUACUGUCGGGCUUGAGUACGGAAGAGGCGAGUGGAAUUCCUGGUGUAGCGGUGAAAUGCGUAGAUAUCAAGAGGAACACCUGAGGUGAAGACGGGUUGCUGGGCCAACACUGACGCUGAGGCGCGAAAGCCAGGGGAGCAAACGGG
rnacentral:rRNA from 1 species